rnacentral:rRNA from 1 species
AGGAAUAUUGGGCAAUGCCCGCAAGGGUGACCCAGCAACGCCGCGUGGAGGAUGAAUGUCGUAAGAUUGUAAACUCCUGUUAGAGGGGAAGAAUAGUACCGGUUGGACCGGUAUAUGACUGUACCCUCAGAGAAAGCCCCGGCUAACUACGUGCCAGCAGCCGCGGUAAUACGUAGGGGGCAAGCGUUGUCCGGAUUUACUGGGUGUAAAGGGCGCGCAGGCGGGAUAAAAAGUCAGUGGUGAAAUCCUACAGCUUAACUGUAGAACUGCCUUUGAUACUUUUAUUCUUGAGUUCGGAAUAGAGAGACGGAAUUCCAGGUGUAGUGGUGAAAUACGUAGAUAUCUGGAAGAACACCAGUUGCGAAGGCGGUCUCUUGGUCCGACACUGACGCUGAGGCGCGAAAGCGUGGGGAGCAAACA